UGGGGAAUAUUGGGCAAUGGGCGAAAGCCUGACCCAGCAACGCCGCGUGAGUGAUGAAGGCCUUCGGGUUGUAAAACUCUUUGGACAGGGACGAAGAAAGUGACGGUACCUGUAGAACAAGCCACGGCUAACUACGUGCCAGCAGCCGCGGUAAUACGUAGGUGGCGAGCGUUAUCCGGAUUUACUGGGCGUAAAGGGCGUGUAGGCGGCUAGAUAAGUGUGAUGUUUAAAUCCAAGGCUUAACCUUGGGGUUCAUUACAAACUGUUUAGCUUGAGUGCUGGAGAGGAUAGUGGAAUUCCUAGUGUAGCGGUGAAAUGCGUAGAUAUUGGGAGGAACACCAGUAGCGAAGGCGGCUUUCUGGACUGCAACUGACACUGAGGCACGAAAGCGUGGGUAGCAAACAGG
rnacentral:rRNA from 1 species